rnacentral:rRNA from 1 species
AUUGAACGCUGGCGGCAGGCUUAACACAUGCAAGUCGAGCGGAGAGAGGUAGCUUGCUACUGAUCUUAGCGGCGGACGGGUGAGUAAUGCUUAGGAAUCUGCCUAUUAGUGGGGGACAACAUUUCGAAAGGAAUGCUAAUACCGCAUACGUCCUACGGGAGAAAGCAGGGGAUCUUCGGACCUUGCGCUAAUAGAUGAGCCUAAGUCGGAUUAGCUAGUUGGUGGGGUAAAGGCCUACCAAGGCGACGAUCUGUAGCGGGUCUGAGAGGAUGAUCCGCCACACUGGGACUGGGACACGGCCCAGACUCCUACGGGAGGCAGCAGUGGGGAAUAUUGGACAAUGGGCGCAAGCCUGAUCCAGCCAUGCCGCGUGUGUGAAGAAGGCCUUAUGGUUGUAAAGCACUUUAAGCGAGGAGGAGGCUACUUUAGUUAAUACCUAGAGAUAGUGGACGUUACUCGCAGAAUAAGCACCGGCUAACUCUGUGCCAGCCGCCGCGGUAAUAC